rnacentral:rRNA from 2 species
GUCUUCUUGAUUAUACUUUGAAGUCUGUCCUGCUCACUGAUAUAUUUAAAGAGCCGCGGUAUUUUGACCGUGCAAAGGUAGCAUAAUCAUUAGUCUUUUAAUUAAAGGCUGGUAUGAAUGGUUUGACGAGAAAUCAACUGUCUCUUAAUAAACUUUAGAAAUUAACCUUUGAGUUAAAAGGCUUAAAUUAUUCUUUAGGACGAGAAGACCCUAUAGAGCUUUAUAUAUUAUUUUCCUAUGUUUUUAUGAUUGUUUAUGCAUAUAAAAUGUUUAUAUUUUGUUGGGGUGACAUGAAAAAUAAUAAAACUUUUCAUUUUUAAAUCAUUGAUUUAUGUUUUUUGAUCCAUAAUUUAUGAUCAAAAGAUUAAGUUACCUUAGGGAUAACAGCGUAAUCAUUUUUGAGAGCUCAUAUCGAUAAAUUGGAUUGCGACCUCGAUGUUGGAUUAAGAUAAAUUUUGGGUGCAGAAGCUCAUAAAUUAGGUCUGUUCGACCUUUAAAUUCUU